AGCACGGGGUUCUCUGCGUCAGGAAGCGCGGGUCGGAGCCGUAACUGCCCCAGCCGCGGGGCGAACGCGCCAAGGCCCGCUCCCAAGUCGGCUUCCUCCCCGGGGCCACUUUGCCCCGGGUCUCCCCGUUCUCCAGGUCCUCCGAACUGCAGAGUCGGAGGCCGUGGACGGCAGGCUCUGCCUCAGCCGAGGGACAGCUGAACCGCCCCUCUGCUUCCCGCAACUGCCCCGACCCCCGCCCCCCCGUCCCAGCCCUUGCUUUUUUUUUCAUUAGUCAUUUAUUCAAACAAUAAUUACGAGGCAUGGACCCAGGGACAAACACCGUGCUAAGUGCCGGGAACACACAGACACAGCUUCAGGAAUGAACUGGGAAGGUGCUUCUCAAGAUUCACCAGGCUAACUGGUCUUGUGGCCUCCAAAUCUUCCACCUCCCUGCUGUUGAGGCUGUCAUUAAGCAAGCAACAAACCAGUGCUGGUCUGACCAUGCGUCCCCUGCAGGAUCUGCCACUCCUGAGAUAGCAAGGCCCACCCCUUCUUCUCCUCCUCCUCCUCCUCCUUCUACGCCUACUCAAUGUGGCAAUGAUGAAGAUGAAGACCUUGAUGAUAACCCACUCCCACUAAUGAACAGGAAAUAUAUUUUCUCUUCCUUAUGAUUUUCUCCAGCUUACUUUAUUGCAAGAAUACAGUAUAAAAUACAUUUAGCAGACAACAUAUGUGUCAAUCAACUGUUGGCGUUACUGUAUUGCUAAGGCCUCGGGUCAACAGUAGUCACUAGUAGUUAAGUUUCUGGGGAGUUAGAAGUUAUAUGGAUUUCAACUGCAUGGGGUAUUCAAGAGUCAACUGUACAUGCUGACAGGUACUGACCGCCAGGUAAGAGGGGAGCGAAUACCCAGGCACAUCCCUAAGACACUGAACAACAGCCCAAAGAACGCCCACCAACCAAACACCCUUACAUGGACAGGGGCUCCGAUGUGGCACAGACCCCAUCUGCCUUGGCCAAGCCACCCCUUUGAGCCUCACCUUCUUAUUUCCUAAGAGUUACAUACCUAUACUACAAGGUUAUCAUGAGGACGAACUGUGAAGCUGGAUACGAACACAUUUUAUAAAGCUCUAAACAAAUGCGGGUUAUUAUUUACAUCAUGAAAAUUUUCUCCAAAUGCCACUAUUUUCAUUUAAAAACAAAAAUAAAACAUCCUCCUCAAAUUUCUCCAUAAAAGCAGUCUUCCUUCUCUAAACUCCCAUGAUUUUUUUUUUUUUUUUUUUUGAGAUGUCGUCUCACUCUGAAGCCCAGGCUGGAGUGCAGUGGCACGAUCUCAGCUCACUAUAACCUCUGCCUCCCUGGUUCACACAAUUCUCUUGACUCAGCCUCCUGAAUAGCUAGGACUACAGGCGCACGCCAAUAUGCCUGGCUGAUUUUUGUAUUUUUAGUAGAGAUGGGGUUUCACCAUGUUGGCCAGGCUGGUCUUGAACUCCUGACCUCAAGUGAUCUGCCUACCUCAGCCUCCCAAAGUGAUGGGAUUAUAGGCGUGAGCCACUGUGCCGGGCCCCAUGAGUUUGUUUUUAAUCUGUGUCCUGACAUAUCACUUUUUGCUGAAUUAAUUAUAGAUGAUUAGAAUGUGAACGGACGGAAGACGGGACUUAUUCUGAUUAACUGUAUAAACGUGCACUUCCAAGCAGGUGCCUGACAGAGGUUAUGAAUGCUUCAGCUGGUGAGUAAAAAGAACUAAAAGAACUCUCAUGCUGCAGAAGAUGAGAGUCACUCUCCUGCUCUAAAAGCCAGAAACAAAACUAUAAGAUGAAGGUUACAGGGAGGCCUAGUUUGCCUCUACAUAAGGAACUGCUAACUAUAGUCUUCUCAUGCUGGAAAGGGCUGCCCUGCAAAUUCAGAUGAUGAGUGGGGCCAUGACUUCUGGAAGGAGUACACAGCUCCUGUAUCAGUGCAGGAUUCAGUCCUUGAAUGCUAGGCCAUCACAGAUAUCACCUUCUUUACUGCCACACAGCCUGGUUGGCAGACAUUCAGACCCUUUCUACAGCGAACCUAAGAUUCCAAUUUAACCUGGCCAGACUGAGCUACUGGGUCACAAGCUUGAAAUCUAAAGUCCUGUUGUUCUGGGGUCCACUGCAUCCCACAAAAACAUCAGUGGAAAAGCCAAAGCUGGCAGGCUGGGUGCAGAACAGACAAGGGAGGUCAGAGGAUCUGCCAUUCACAAGGCUAUUUCAGAACUAUUAGAUUACAUGGGCACUCUUCUUGGAUAAUCUGCCCAGCACAAACUUACAGCUAAAAUGAAUUUCUGUGCUCAUUUAGGCAGCACAUAUACUAAAACUGGAAUAAUAACAGGAAGAUGAGCAUGGUACCUGCCCAUGGAUGACACAUAAACUAGUCAAGAGUUCUAUUAUUUUUGUCCCAUGGCAUUGUAGGGUAGCCACGGCUAACAGUAAUACAUUAUAUAGUCUCAGAUAGCAAGGAAGGGGACACUGAAUGUUCCUAACACACAGAAAUGAAAAAUGUUUGAGAUGAUGAUAUGCUAAUUAUCCUGAUCUGAUCUUACACAUUAUAUGUAUCAAAACACCACCCACAUGCAGUGGUUCACACCUGUAAUCCUAGCAUGUUGGGAGGCCAAGGUGGGCGGAUUGCUUGAGCUCAGGAGUUAGAGACCAGCCUGGGCAACAAGGUAAAAACUCAUCUCUACAAAAAAAUAUAUAAAAAUUAGCCAGGCAUGGUGGUACACACAGAGGUGGGAAGAUGGCUUAAGCCUGGAAGGCAGAGGCUACAGUGAGCCCAGACAGAGCCACUGCACUCCAGCCUGGGUAAAAGAGCCAGACUUCAAAGAACAUGUUUUUAACAAUCUUGAAAAAAUGAAAAAAUAAGAGAAGGAAAGUUUUAAAAACUUCCAUCAUGGUAAAAGAUAUGGUCCACCUGGAGUGGACUCUAAGCCCGUAAGGACUCAAGUUAAGCAAAAAAUAUUCAAAAAUAGUGUUCAGGCCGUAUCAAUUCCAGUAAAGGUGAUAAUAUGAUGCAAAUGUGGAAAGCUAUCUAAGCCUCCUUUGCAAAUAUCCCAGCUGAAUACCUGCAGCCAAGACUCAGCAAUACUUGGGCUCUCAAAUUCGAAGAAGUCAAGAAGACUGGACCUGAACGUGGUCUAAUCAACGGCACCUUAUAAACUAACGGCAACAGAAUGUGCUAUGCCCUCACUCUCUGUCUACAAAGCACCACCAUUUCUGUGAAGGCAAUCAUUUUACCAAUUCACUAUAAAUUCACUCAAGUUCAACUAGUUAAGCCACUUGACAUUAAAAUGCAGUAGGGGUGAAAAGUCACAACGGUGCUUCCACACUGGGCUGCUGAGAGGUCCCAGACUCUGAUCAAAGUUCCAUAUUAAUAAUAACUGAUGUCCUGGAGGUUCCUCUACCCCUUCCCCCGUUUCAUGCGUUUAUCACCUCUGUUUCUUCCCUGAGAGUAGAUGAUCACUACAAAGGGAGGCCAUGGGAUGGUUGCAGUCGAAAUCAUUUAGAUCAUAAGAAAUGACAAAAACAGCAAAGUUCUUCAGGGUCACCAGUGUGGGUACACCAAUAUUAACAAACGUGAGUGAUUACAAAUGUGUUUAACAUGGAAGUGUUCUCAUAGGGUACUUAUUCAGGGUCACCUCAAAAAUAUUAGCAGGUUCCUUCUUCUAUCACACAGAUUAAAAAUAAGGCUUAAAAAUUCUGUCCCAGAGGAUAGGGAAUCUACCCAGCGAAGAUCUUAGGUUUUGUUUUAAAGCAGGUGUCAAAAAGGAAUUUUUUGAAGUUUCUUUUGUUUGUAAAUUCUAGGGAUUUUCACAAAGUUCUUAUUGAUCAGACUUGUAGGGAAGACCCAGGAUGAGUAAAGCUGGGGCUGGAGUGGGGGAGAGGACUCACAGAAAAGGACAGGCCUGUGGAGACAGAAGAGACAGAGAGCAGAAACUGUGUCAAGGGUCAGACAGGUCUGAGCUUCUGCCUUGACUGGGCUGCUCAGUGGCUCUGGCGAGCUUUCCUGUUCCUACACCUGCCUCUUUGCUUAUAAAAUAGGGACAAUGCCCAGCUCUGGAAGAAUGAUGAGGGUUAGGAAGCCUCUGUCAGGGCCCUCGGCCCACCACUGGCAUUUGGAGGUGCCAAUCAACACUGUCUUAGGAGGAAGCCCUGCAUUUCUGGCCUCUAUUCUGACUUCUCGGUACACAAAUUAAAAUAUCAGUGACAGCCUAGACCUGGUAUUAGAGGUUUCUUCUAAUUUGAUUAAUUGUGUCUCAGAUUAUUCUAGGAAGGUGUAGUUCCAGACACCUCCUUAUAUAAGACCAGAAAGUAAGAAAAGUCUCACAGUGCUCAGCACAUAGCAGGCAUUGCCAUACAUGGUCCCUUUUUUCCUUUCUUGGUUAGGAUGCCAGCCCCAAGUCCCAUCAAUUGGGACUCCAUGGUAAGUGUUUGCCCUUUAAGUCUGUUUUCCGUGCCCCUAUGGGUGCCUCUACUCCCAGGCAAACACCUGGGUCACAGGUAAAGUGCAAAGCUGGGGACAAUGUGCAUCACUUUGCUGGACAUCAGUUCCCAAACUGAUUGACAAAAGCAAAAGUUUUCCUAAAGGGGCCAAGGACCACAGUUAGGUAAAGAGAAAAGGAGGAGGAGGAAGGCCACGGUUUAGCAGGAGGGCUUCCAGUGAGAAGGGUCGGCGAGGAAGACAAAGCAGAAGCAUCACCAGUCCCCAGGGCAGGCUGGAGGUGCCGGCAUCUGACCUGGGAACUCGCAGCUGCCUCAGGUGGACACCCCAGUGUACUCUACGGGCACCCUCCCCCAGACUCGAAGGCAGGGACACACACCACCAAGAAGAUGCCGGGCAGAACCCUAAAGACAGAGAAAAAGCAUUUCAUUUCUUUCUUUCCUUUUUUUUUUAAAAGACAGAGUCUCACUCUGUCGCCCAAGCUGGAGUGCAAUGGUGCAAUCUCGGCUCACUGCAACCUCCGCCUCUCGGGUUCAAGCAAUUCUUGUGCCUCAGCCUCCCAAAAAGCUGGAACUACAGGAACAUGCCACCAUGCCUGGCUAAUUUUUGUAUUUUUUGGUAGAGACAGGGAUUCACCCUGUUGGUCAGGCUGAUCUCGAACUCCUGACCUCAGGUGAUCCGCCCACCUCGGCCUCCCAAAGUGCUGGGAUUACAGGCGUGAGCCACUGUACUCGGCCCAUUUCAUUUCUUCAGUCCUCCAAAAGCCACUGGAACUAAAGAUAGACAAAAUAGAAAAAAUGAAGAGCACUAAAUUCUCAGAAGGUGAAGCCUCCAUGUGAUCUAUAACAUGUACAAAACAAGAACACAGUUAAAAGCGCAGAUUUUUUGAUUGACAUAUCUACAGUUUUCAUUUAUGGAAAUGAUGAAAUGAGAUACAUAUUUAGAAUGAGUAAUUUACAAAAUUGGAAACCUUAAGUAGGACACAAUGAAGACAGUGCUUACACAUUUAACACAAAUUACGAUCAAGGUCAGCUGUCAGGAACAGGCAAGGACACGGGUCAGGGUGUUUCACCAAGACAGCCAGCCGCCCUACCAGACUUUAUAAAGGCACCAGCAACUCUCCAGAGACCAGGCAAGCCUGGACUGAUGUCCUAAGUCCUAGUUUUUUCAGUUUUCAUAUCACUAGAAGUUGAAUUGGUAAGGAUAACAAUAAAAAGAAAAUAGAGCACAACCAGCUCCUCACAGCUUGGGGGAAGAAAGCAAAUAGGCUUAUCACUUCCUCUAAGAACAAGUAUCUUUCAGUCUCAACACAGAGUAAAAGUAAGAGCUGGAGCAAUCUCCUUUAGGGAGCUGAGGAGACUGCCAGCAGGCUCGCAGGCUGGCCUAACAAGCACGCAGUCCUCAGCCUGCAGGGUCAUGCCCCGUGAAAUACCAGCUCAAGAGGGGAGAUUUUAAACAAGAUUGCUCUGCCCUUAAAACUAGACUAUUUCUUUGUCCCCAAAUUAAGAUCAGAAACAACUUUAAAGACUAGGAUAGUAGUCCGCUGAGCCCAUGGCUAGGAGCACAGGCUCUGGGUCUAGCAGCUCUCAGCAGUUUCGGCCCCCUUCUCAUGCAGUGUCUUCCAUUUGCAGCCACGGGUUUCCUAUGAUGUGUAAGAGAGCCACUCCCACAGAAUGGUUCCAUGGGCACACUGUGAAGAAUGCCGCUUACACUGGAAAAGUCCACCAGCCAACCCAGAUGAACAACCCGAAAACAGACAUCAUUCUUUCCCUUCUAUGCCCCAUAAUAUAUGCCCAGUUCCCAUGACCAUAGAAUGCAAAAAUUCAAUCUAGAUUCACUACUCAUCACCCUCAACACCUCCAGCCUACGAAACUGGCCACCUCGCACCCUCACCAUCAUCUCUGACUCUAUUCCAUCCCUAGCUCCAACCCCUCUGUCAGCAGAUGCAAUGUUACCAUGAAGUUGGCUGAGAACAAAAAAUGCCACAUAUGGAACAGGUUUGCUUCUAGGGAAACAUUUAAGUGAAAACGAGGUCAGGAAAAUGGCAAGUAGGAGGCAGUGGCCACGGCCACUCUUUGAACUCUGAGGCCAAGUGAACUUUAUAAAUGAUCUGCUGUGUUAUCAAUUUUAGCAAUUUUUUAAGUACCUCCAUGCAUUUAACUUUACAGCAUAUACUGCAUAAGACACAUUCUCAAAUUAUACAUGAUGAGGAAAUCAGGUCUCUUUUACUUGAAGAGCCAUCUAAAAUAAUUUUUGUAUCAAAUAAAUUAUAUAGUAAUAUAUAAUCUAUCAAAUAAAAUAAAUAUCCAUGAGUCCAUACUGAUAUGCACAGCUGAAUAAAUAAUUAAUGUGGAAGAAGGGACAGCUCUUCCUUUUAGUAAAACUCCAAUGAAUACAUGCAGAAGAAAUAACAGAGACAGAAAAUCACCACUUGGCAAACACUACCAUAGUAACUACUACAGACAAAAAUCAUGAUAGAUACAAAAACCAGUGGAUGAAAAGAUGGGGAGAAACAGGACAUUUGCAUAGUCUCAAAGAAUCUUUCUAUAAGGUAUUCAUUCAUUAUAACAGAAAAAUAGUAACUUCUGAUGGAAAAACCAAAAAGACAUAUUGAUUCAUGUCUUCCCUGAGAAGGACACAACUUCACUUCCAUGGUAUUGUUGCCCAAAAUGCAUAAUCUCAGUCUAAACAUGAUAAAAUAUCAAACAAAUGUAUACUGAGGGACUUCUACAAAGUAACCGCCAGGCCAGCAGUAUUCUACAAAAGUCUCAGCGUCAUGAAAGACAAGGAGAGACCAAGGAACCAUCCCAGGCUGAACGUGAUUGGAGAAGAUCUGACAACUAAAUGCAAUAUGGGCAGGAAGAAAGGGCAUUAGUGCUAGGACAACAGGUGAAAUUCAAACAAGGUCUGCAGAUUGUUAACAGUACCGUACAAGGUUGAGUUCCUGGUUUAGAUCAUUAUACUGUAGGCUGUGUAAGAUGUUACCUUUAAGUGAAGUUAGGUGAAGUGUAUACAGGAGUUCUGUGAAUGAAUUUUGCAACUUUUUUGUAAGUCUACAAUUAUUCAAAAAUAAAAAGUUAAAAAAAAAAAAAAAAACGACUGCAUAUCCCCAGAAAUACUAGUCCCUAGCCCUGGUGUGACACCUCACACUUAAGAGGAAUCAACAGAAUGGAAGAAGCUGAAUAGGGAGAGAAGCCCCAUGCCAACUAAGAGUGACAAUUUGGAAUACAAUCUGUGCGUAAACUGGGACACUCCUGUACCCAACCUCUGCCACCACAGAAGUCAAAGUUAUAUAAAGCAUAUGCGUAUUUUCCCUUACAGUGCUGAAGGACACGUAGCUAUAUACAGUGUAUGCUACUGCGUGUCUAAACUCUUUCUGUAAAUGUCAGGGCCUUGGGAUCUUUAAGUUGAUGCCCAGAGGUUUUCAUUUUAACUUGGUACACAUUCCUGAAGGCCUUAUGUAUCACCAGAUUUCUAAAUGUAGAUGAGAGCUUUAUGAAAACAUAGGCUAAAUACAUCUCUGGAAAUUCACAUCUUGUGCUAUUCUUGUGUAGCUCUAUCAGAGACAAGUAGAACAGCGGGAAAUGUUUGUAUUUAGCCACAACUGCCACAGGAUGCCAAGAACCAAAAGUGACAUCUUCCUCUGCCUCUUGGCGGGCCCUAUUUUCAGAGACAGGCUGCAGCAACAGUAAGUUGUGAACAUGGCUGCUUGCCUCUUCUGCCACUCAGCCCUGGGGCUAGGUAGGAGUUGCCUAUUCGAGGAAGAUGGCCAACUUGAAAUUGCCUUACUCCAUCCUGAAGCAUAAGGCAGGAAAAGGGGGGAGGCUGCUGCAAUGGAUGCUUGCCUUGAAACAAAAUUCAUGGCAUUUGAUGCACAAAUGAGUCUCUCCCUCUCCAUACCUCCCCCUGCAUCUCUCAAAUGGUUGGAUCAACACAAAAGAAGAAAUCCAAGUAAGGUGUGACAAAUCACUUAAGUGACGAGAACAACUGAAAAAUAGUAGUAAUCAAUUUAAUAGAUAUGCCUCUGUUCUGUUAAACCCUGUAUGCUUCCUUUUACUUAAAAAGCAUUACAUUCAAUCUCAACAACAUAGAAAAAUCUACAUGUCUCUAAGAUAAGCUAAUCUUCAGACAAGCUGGCACCCCACGUCACAGCACCAGGCCCAUUACAUGGCACUGAUUACCAAUUAAACAAGCAGUUCAUUCACAGGGUCUGUCAAUUUCUUUUUAACUGACAUAAGUGAAAAACAUCUGAGCUAAUCAUUCAACUUUGUUCAGGUAAGUAACAUCUGAUAGGCUAUGCUCCACUUUCACACAAUUAUACUACUUCAAAGUUGGAUUUAAGCCAAACCCUACUUUUCCACUGAUUUCUAUCACAAAACUGGUCAUCCAUUUCCAUGCAAAAGUCUGAACUUAGAGCUGAACUUUGGUAUGUUCUGGUCUGCUAGGAUUUUUAUAGGGUUAAAGUUGCAACAGUUUUAAAUGCCAAAUCCAGCUUUCCAUCAUGAGCCCUCUCUUCUUCCCUGGCCUCUGUUUCACAAACUGACAUAAAUUUUAGCCCCAUUUCAUACAAGCCUCUUCUGGCCUUUGGCUCAGCCACAAUUUCUAAACUUAGCUUCUGGAGUUUGGACAUUGACAUUCGUCAAUCAUCAAGUUGCAGUAUGAUGUUUCACCAGCAGGUGCUUCAUCUUUUUUCUUUUCCUAUUUUUUUUUUUUUGAGACAGGGUCUCACUCUGUCACUUAGGCUAGAGGGCAGUGGCAUGAUCAUGGCUCAAUGCAGCCUCAACUUCCUAUGUUCAAGUGAUACUCCUGCCUCAGCCUCCCAAGUAGCCGGGACUAUAAGCGUGUGCCACCAUGCCUAGCUAGUUUUUGCAUUUUUAGUAGAGAUGGGAUUUUGCCAUGUUGCCCAGGCUGGUCUUGAACUCCGCGGUUCAAGUCAUCCUCCCAUCUCAGACUCCCAAAGUGCUGGGAUUAUUAUAGGCAUCAGGUGCUGUAUCUCAAUACAAGGAAUGCUCUCAAAAUUCCUGGAGCUUGAGGCUUCUGGCUACCCACACUAUCACCUGUUGAACACCUGAAGGAUA